GAUGAAGAACGCAGCGAAAUGCGAUAAGUAGUGUGAAUUGCAGAAUUCAGUGAAUCAUCGAAUCUUUGAAGGCACAUUGCGCCUCCUGGUAUUCCGGGAGGCAUGCCUGUUCGAGCGUCAUUAAAAUCACUCAAGCUUAGGUUUACCUAUUGCUUGGUCUUGGAGAUGGAAGCCAAUUUAUUGGAAUCCUCUUCGAAAUUCAAUGGCGAAGACCCUUGCUCUCCCAAGUGUAGUAAUAACUUAUGUCACUGAAGGAAGCGAGAAAUCUUCUGCCGUAACCCCCAUAUUUUCUAUGAUUGACCUCGGAUCAGGUAGGGAUACCCGCUGAACUUAAGCAUAUCAAUAAGCGGAGGA
rnacentral:misc_RNA from 1 species